rnacentral:misc_RNA from 1 species
CAAGUGACUCCGGUCUAACCACCCGGAUGUUCAUAACCCUUUGUUGUCCGACUCUGUUGCCUCCGGGGCGACCCUGCCUUCGGGCGGGGGCUCCGGGUGGACACUUCAAACUCUUGCGUAACUUUGCAGUCUGAGUAAACUUAAUUAAUAAAUUA